AUCAGUCUUACUAAGAGGAGGAUUCCGACCACUGAAGAGAACAUUUCCAUUAUGGCCAACAGCACGGUACAGGAUCAGACCACAGAACAUCAGCUGCUGAAGGAUGAUCCUGUGCCAUACAGAACCUGCCAGAACAGCUCUGUGGUUCCAGCACUGAAAUGUCCAAGCUGGCAUGACACCAGUACCCAUCAGAUUCUACCCACUGUUCCAUCAGCAGUACAUAUGAGGACAGCCAAGAGCAUAUUCCAUAGUCCAUGCCAAGGCUACAUAAGAAGCUGAUUGUGCAUUGUGAGUUAGUAGCCUGUGUGGAGCAUGUGAUCUUCAUGGGUUCAUUAUUCUGAGAAGAACUAAGAUUUACAACCGAUGAUGGUGUAGAAUCUGAACUUUCCCCA